rnacentral:rRNA from 1 species
ACAUAACUGAUGCCUCCGCGUAUCGACUUUGUGCGCAUUUUAGCUAUUAUGUGUUCUUUUAAUUAAAAUGAUUCUUUUUAAGAUUCAUCUAUUAAAAAUUUGCUUCGGCAUAAUUUUUUUUGAUGAUCUUGUUACUUUGAGUAAAUUAGAGUGUUCAAAGCAAACAGAUAUAGCAUUUGUGCGUUUGAAUACUACAGCAUGGAAUAACAAAAUUGAACAAGUCAGAAUUUUUUUGUUCUUUUUUCUUAUUUUGGCUUAGUUACGAUUAAUAGGAGUAGCUUGGGGGCAUUUGUAUUCAGAUGUCAGAGGUGAAAUUCUUAGAUUUUCUGGAGACAAACAACUGCGAAAGCAUUUGCCUAAAAUACUUCCAUUAAUCAAGAACGAAAGUUAAGGGAGUGAAGACGAUCAGAUACCGUCGUAAUCUUAACCAUAAACUAUGCCGACUAGGCUUUGGAUGAAAGAUUUUAAAAUAAGAGUUUUUCUUUUCUCUCCGGAGAUUAGAACUCUUAGAUUGCUUCCUUCAGUGCCUUAUGAGAAAUCAAAGUCUUUGGGUUCUGGGGCGAGUAUUCGCGCAAGCGAGAAAGUUAAAAGAAUUGACGGAAGGGCACCACCAGGCGUGGAGCUUGCGGCUUAAUUUGACUCAACACGGGAAAACUCACUAGUUUAAGACAAGAGUAGGAUUGACAGAUUAAUAGCUCUUUCUUGAUUUCUUGGAUGGUGAUGCAUGGCCGUUUUUAGUUCGUGAAUAUGAUUUGUCUGGUUAAUUCCGAUAACGAACGAGAUCUUAACCUGCUAAUUAGCGGCAAAUACGAUAUAUUCUUAUGUAGAAUUGAAUAUAGUGGAUUUGUUGGAUUUUGAAGAAAAUAUUGGAAUUACGUUUAAAUGUGAUUCCUUUCCCUUUCCUACUUAAUUUACAUUUCCAUCUAUUUCUUUUUUGCGUAUGAAUGUAUUUGCUUGAUUGUAAGGCUUCUUAGAGGAACGAUGUGUG